UACGUAGGGGGCAAGCGUUGUCCGGAAUUAUUGGGCGUAAAGAGCGCGUAGGCGGUCCGGUAAGUCAGCUGUGAAAGUCAAGGGCUCAACCCUUGAAAGCCGGUUGAUACUGUCGGGCUAGAGUCCGGAAGAGGCGAGUGGAAUUCCCGGUGUAGCGGUGAAAUGCGCAGAUAUCGGGAGGAACACCAAUGGCGAAGGCAGCUCGCUGGGACGGUACUGACGCUGAGACGCGAAAGCGUGGGGAGCGAACAGG
rnacentral:rRNA from 1 species